UACGGAGGGGGCUAGCGUUGUUCGGAAUUACUGGGCGUAAAGCGUGCGUAGGCGGUUCGCUGUGUCCGAUGUGAAAGCCCCGGGCUUAACCUGGGAAUGGCAUUGGAAACUGGCGGGCUUGAGUGCGGCAGAGGGGGGUGGAAUUCCGCGUGUAGCAGUGAAAUGCGUAGAGAUGCGGAGGAACACCGAUGGCGAAGGGAGCCCCCUGGGUCGACACUGACGCUCAGGCACGAAAGCGUGGGGAGCAAACAGG
rnacentral:rRNA from 1 species